AUAGGGAACAUGCAGUGACGUGUUAGCUGUAACCAUGCCGCCAUUUUAGAUGGCAACGACGUACAUACACACACAACGUUUAGUAGUAUCACGAGUUCUUGCUACACAGGAAAAGAGCUGAAAGCCUACAAGAGUUUGGAGGCUUACAAGUAUUUUGUGGCUGGAUGGGUCUCCAGUAUCCAGCUGUGGAAAGUUCCUCACAAGCUUGACAAGGCGAAGUAUUUGGUCAUGUCAAGGGUUGCACAUUCCCAAUCCAUCUCAUCACCACCCCUGAAAUCCUAGAUCAUUGUGGAGAAGGAUGGCACGUUGAGACGGCCCACUGCACAUGUAUGGCGGGACUGGGCGAAGCCUGCAGCCAUAUAGCCGCAACCCUCUUUGCCAUUGAGGUUGCAGUAAAGAUGCUGAGGGAGAUAGCAUGUACGUCACUACCCUGCACAUGGUUGGAGCCUUCAGGGGGACACAUGAAUUUUGCUGAGGGAAACGAGAUUGACUUCACAAGCCCUUCAUGUAAGAGGACAUUAACAAUGUGUCAGGAGGGAAACUCUCCAAAAAGAACCGUUCAAUCCAGAGACAUUCCAGUGCUUACUUUUGAAGAAGCGAGUAUUUUGUAUGAUGCCAUCAAGGCAACUGGGGUUAGAAGUGCCAUUCUGGCUGUAGUCCCAAAGUAUGCAGCAGAGUAUAUCCCUAAGGCAAUCACCUUCAACUUGCCAGAACCGCUGUCACAGCUGUACAAGGAUGAAUGGAGCAAGCUGUCCUACCAGGAGUUAGCUAAAGUGUGCAAGGAUGUCUUCUUCAGCAUCAGAGUAACAAAGGAACAGGUACAUGCAUGGAUUGGCAUGUUGUCAAUAGUCAAAUGGGAAAGAUUUCCAUAUACAACUGUUACUCAUUUUCCUCCAUAGUGACUUACAAGCCCCUAGAUAGUCAUUACAUAUCAUCAAAGUCAAUUUGAGCAGUUAGAAAAUGUAAGCAUUUUCUUACCAAACACUUAGGAAUUGUCAGACCCGUCUCAUAGUCUCGUAGUAUAUCCAUGGAACCAUUUCAGGGAAUUCUGGAGUUGAGUCAAGAAUUGCAGUUGUCUUCACGUUUGCUUAGACAGUUUAUUGUACAUGUACAUAUACGACGUAAAUACAUGUGUAAACUAUUCUUUACUAAAUGAAUGCUGCUAAAUUCACCACUUCACAAGCAAUUCAUUUACAUUUGUUUUUUAUUACUCAAGCCUUUCUUGUUAACCCUUUCGACGUCCAUUCAAUUAAACAAGAAUUUGACAUUUCCAUCAUUUCUGUUUUUCUUUGUGUACUUCUUUGUCUAGCUGGUUCUCGGCAAAGAAUGUGUUACAAAAUUCCCUCCUUAGUCAAAAGGCACAACUGAUUCGGAAAGGUUCGUAAGUGCACAAGGUAUACAGACUAUUUUGUCAAGUGUUUUUAGAUUAUGUUGGUCACUAAGCAAAUACGUGAUUGGAACAGUUGAUUGCAGCAUAGUGUAUUUUUGCCUCGUGAGACCAAUCACACGCUCCACGUGGAUCCUUUGGGAAGCAAGAACUCGUUUGGCCCCCACAUCCAAUGGCCUCAACUGUUUUUUGCCCUUUGUAAAGGCAGGCAUUUUAAGGGUGGCAUUAAAUAAGCCAACAGAAUCCCCAACAUCAAAGCCUGUCGGGUAAGAUAACAUCACCUGGAAUCAAUUUGUCCAGAAAUCCACAAUUAUUUGUGAUGUAUUUAUCACUUGCCCUCCCUUCCUUAGCCUUUCAAAAUGUAAGAAAUACAACCCUGAGGUGUGAUGCCAAUCAGAUACUUCAUGGUAUUGUGUGAUUUGUAGUUGGAGUGUGUCUGUGCCCUAGCUUUUAGAUCACUGGCUCUCUAUA